rnacentral:rRNA from 1 species
AUACGGAGGAUGCAAGCGUUAUCCGGAUUCAUUGGGUUUAAAGGGUGCGUAGGUCGGCUUUUUAAGUCAGUGGUGAAAUCUUGCCGCUUAACGGUAAAAUUGCCAUUGAUACUGACAAGCUUGAGUACAGUUGAGGUAAGCGGAAUGUGUAGUGUAGCGGUGAAAUGCUUAGAUAUUACACAGAACACCGAUUGCGAAGGCAGCUUACUAAACUGUUACUGACGCUGAUGCACGAAAGCGUGGGGAGU